rnacentral:rRNA from 1 species
AGAGUUUGAUUCUGGCUCAGGACGAACGCUGGCGGCGUGCUUAACACAUGCAAGUCGAACGGGGUCUUAGAGAGGAAAGCUUCGGCAGGAAUCUUUAAGAUCUAGUGGCGAACGGGUGAGUAACGCGUGAGGAACCUGCCUCAAACAGGGGGAUAACACUUGGAAACAGGUGCUAAUACCGCAUAAGACCACAGGAUCGCAUGGUCCAGGGGUCAAAGCUCCGGCGGUUUGAGAUGGCCUCGCGUCCCAUUAGGUAGUUGGUGAGGCAACGGCUCACCAAGCCGACGAUGGGUAGCCGAGCUGAGAGGCUGAUCGGCCACACUGGGACUGAGACACGGCCCAG